UACAGCGCAGCUGGUGCAUGACCAGAGGAUUCUCCAUGGCCCCAGGAGUCUUGGUCUCGUUGGGGAUGAGGCAGCGCACAAAGUGGGGUGUCCUCCUUGACGUCUCCAUUGCCAUGUAGAAAAUCCCAACCUGCUGAUCCAUGUGCACUUCAUCUUCUCUACAUCACGCAUGCUGUCUCUAGUCAGCUCUCCUUUCAAUACAUCAAGCACAUUGCAUUCUUAUGGAUCUGAAGCCUAUCAGUGAGAAGAACCUUGUGGGUGAGCCUUUUUAUAGCUUUGACAACAAAACUGAAAGUGCUCAAAGGGAAGAUUUCUCUGGUCCUUGAGGUGGACCCUCACAGAUCAGUACCAAUACAGGAGGAGAUCUCAAGGUG